rnacentral:rRNA from 1 species
GACGAACGCUGGCGGCGUGCUUAACACAUGCAAGUCGAACGAUGAAGCUAGAGCUUGCUCUGGUGAAUUAGUGGCGAACGGGUGAGUAACACGUGAGUAACCUGCCCCGAACUCUGGGAUAACUGCUGGAAACGGUAGCUAAUACUGGAUACGACCUACGAAGGCAUCUUCUGUAGGUGGAAAGAAUUUCGGUUCGGGAUGGACUCGCGGCCUAUCGGCUUGUUGGUGAGGUAAUGGCUCACCAAGGCGACGACGGGUAGCCGGCCUGAGAGGGUGACCGGCCACACUGGGACUGAGACACGGCCCAGACUCCUACGGGAGGCAGCAGUGGGGAAUCUUGCGCAAUGCGCGAAAGCGUGACGCAGCAACGCCGCGUGGGGGAAGAAGGCCUUCGGGUUGUAAACCCCUUUCAGGAGGGACGAAGCCUUGGCGGUUAAUAGCCGACCGAGGUGACGGUACCUCCAGAAGAAGCCCCGGCUA